UGGGUGGUUGGCAGAGCGGUAGAUGCAUCCGGCUUUUAACCGGAAUCAGGUAGGUUCAACUCCUACACCACCACCCA
rnacentral:tRNA from 6 species